AGGAGUAGGAGAGAGAGAAGAGGAGGAGUUGGUUGGAAGAGAUGGAGAGAGGAGAGGGGCGAGAGAGAGAGAGAGGGACAGACAGGGGAGGGGGAAGGGACAGAGGAGAGGGGAAGAGAGGAGAGAAGGAGAGAGAGGACAGAGACAGGGGAGGGGAAGAGAGAGGAAGGAGAGGAAGGACAGAGACAGGGGAGGGGAAGAGAGAGGAAGGAGAGAGAGGACAGAGACAGGGGAGGGGGAGAGAGAGGAAGGAGAGAGAGGACAGAGACAGGGGAGGGGAAGAGAGACGAAGGAGAGAGAAGGACAGAGACAGGGGAGGGGGAAGAGAGAGAGGAAGGAGAGAGAGGACAGAGACAGGGGAGGGGGAAGAGAGUGGAAGGAGAGAGAAGGACAGAGACAGGGGAGGGGAAGAGAGAGAGGAGGAGGAGGAAGAGAGGGGAGGGGGAAAGCGGGAGGGGGAAAAGAGAGAGGAAGGAAGAGAGGAAAGAGACAGGGGAGGGGGGAAGAGAGAGGAAGGAGAGAGGGAAAGAGACAGGGGAGGGGAAGAGAGAGGAAGGAGCGAGGGGGACAGAGACAGGAGGGAAGAGAGAGGGAAGGAGAGAGAGGACAGAGACAGGGAGGGGGAAGAGAGACAAGGACAGAGACAGGGGAGGGGAAAGAGGAGACAAGGACAGGAAGGGGGAGGGGGAAGAGAGAGGAAGGAGAGAGAAGGACAGAGAUAGGGGAGGGAAGAGGAGAGGACAGAGACAGGGAGGGGGAAGAGAGAGGAAGGAAGAGAAGGACAGAGACAGGGGAGGGGGAGAGAGAGGACAGAGACAGGGGAGGGGAAAGAGAGAGGAAGGAAAGAGAAGGACAGAGACAGGGGAGGGGGAAGAGAGAGGACAGAGACAGGGGAGGGGAAAGAGAGAGGAAGGAAAGAGAAGGACAGAGAUAGGGGAGGGGAAGAGAGAGGACAGAGACAGGGGAGGGGGAAGAGAGAGGAAGGAGAGAAGGACAGAGACAGGGGAGGGGAAGAGAGAGGAAGGAGAGAGAGGACAGAGACAGGGGAGGGGGAAGAGAGAAGGAAGGAGAGAGGGGAGGGGGAAGAGAGAGGACAGAGGACAGGGGAAGGGGAAGAGAGAGGACAGACUCACAGGGGAGGGGGAAGAAGAGAGAGGAAGGAGAGAAGGACAGAGACAGGAGAGGGGGAAGAGAGACAAGGACAGAGACAGGGGGAGGGGGAAGAGAGAGGAAGGAGCGAGAGGACAGAGACAGGGGAGGGGAAAGAGAGAGGAAGGAGAGAGAGGACAGAGACAGGGGAGGGGAAGAGAGGAAGGAGAGAAGAGGACAGAGACAGGGGAGGGGGGAAGAGAGACAAGGACAAGACAGGGGAGGGGGAAGAGAGAGACAAGGACAGAGACAGGGGAGGGGGAAGAGGACAAGGACAGAGGACAGGGGGAAGGGAAGGAAGAGAGACAAGGACAGAGACAGGGGAGGGGGAAGAGAGAGGAAGGAGAGGAGAAGGACAGAGAUAGGGGAGGGGAAGAGAGAGGACAGAGACAGGGGAGGGGGAAGAGAGAGGAAGGAAAGAGAAGGACAGAGACAGGGGAGGGGAAGGAGAGAGGACAGAGACAGGGAGGGGAAAGAGAGAGGAAGGAAAGAGAAGGACAGAGACAGGGGAGGGGGAAAGAGAGAGGACCAGAGACAGGGGAGGGGAAAGAGAGAGAGGAAGGAAAGAGAAGGACAGAGAUAGGGGAGGGGAAGAGAGAGGACCAGAGACAGGGAGGGGGAAGAGAGGAGGAAGGAGAGAAGGACAGAGACAGGGGAGGGGGAGAGAGAAGGAGAGAGAGGACAGAACAGGGGAGAAGAGGAGGAAGGAGAGAGGGGAGGGGGGAGAGAGAGGAGAGAGACAGAGGGGAGGGGAGGGGAAGAGAGAGGACAGAGACAGGGGAGGGGAAGAGGGGGACAGAGACAGGGAGGGGAAGAGAGAGGACAGAGACAGGGGAGGGGGAAGAGAGAGGACAGACAGGGGAGGGGGAAGAGAGAGGAAGGAGAGAAGGACAGAGACAGGGGAGGGGGAAGAGAGAGGAAGGAGGGAAGGAGAGAAGGACAGAGACAGGGGAGGGGGAAGAGAGAGGAAGGAGCGAGAGGACGGAGACAGGGGAGGGGGAAGAGAGAGGAAGGAGCGAGAGGACGGAGACAGGGGAGGGGGAAGAGAGAGGAAGGAGCGAGAGGACGAGAAGGGGAGGGGGAAGAGAGAGGAAGGAGAGAGGAGGACGGAGACAGGGGAGAGGGAAGAGAGAGGAAGGAGAGAGAGGAAGGAGACAGGGGAGGGGGAAGAGAGAGGAAGGAGAGAGAGGAAGGAGACGAGGGGAGGGGGAAGAGAGAGCUCACAUGAAUGCAUUUGACAACGACCAUGACAGUUAUAGUACAGAAUAUAGUGCUGUUAUCUGUACCAUGUAA
ensembl:lncRNA